UACAGAGGUGGCAAGCGUUGUUCGGAAUUACUGGGCGUAAAGCGCACGUAGGUGGUUUGUUAAGCUAGCUGUGAAAUCCCCGGGCUCAACCUGGGCACUGCAGUUAGAACUGGCAAGCUAGAGUAGGGUAGAGGGGUGUGGAAUUCCAGGUGUAGCGGUGAAAUGCGUAGAUAUCUGGAGGAACAUCAGUGGCGAAGGCGACACCCUGGACUCAUACUGACACUGAGGUGCGAAAGCGUGGGGAGCAAACAGG
rnacentral:rRNA from 1 species